AAGAAGAAGAAAAUCAACUAUACGGAACAACAAUCAAAACGGAACAACAUGAACUUGACGGAACCGUCUCCCAGCGAGACUUUUACCUACCGACCACAACCAGCAUCGGCAAACUAGCUUCCGGCAUGCAGUUACACCCGCUGAAAAAGUUCGGUCUUCCUUCACCACAGCGACGCUCGCCCGCAAGGGUUGGUUCCUGAUGGCGGCGACAAUCAAUUACGAGGACGAGGACCUUUGGUUUGACGUGAUGGCACUGGCCAAUGUCAGUAACAGCUGGAUUUUUAAGGAUGCCCAGACAGGAUCGGAAUAGAAUUCUGAAAGGUUCCGGUUCACAAUAAUGGCGGCAAUCGUUUCCAAGGAGGAUCCCGUGAGGUAGGGAAAACUAACCAUCAUCCGCGGAACGUAGGCGCUUGAUAGAUUUUCAAGUGGCUAACCUUCCCGCAAGGACAACCUGGUCAAUCGUUUGAUGUGCGCACAUUCCCGCUAUGUUACUACGGAACCAUCACCAGGAUCACCCCAGACCCCAGGCAAAAAGAAAAAUGAGG